rnacentral:rRNA from 1 species
UGGGGAAUAUUGGACAAUGGGCGCAAGCCUGAUCCAGCCAUGCCGCGUGUGUGAAGAAGGCCUUCGGGUUGUAAAGCACUUUUGUACGGGAAGAAAAGCUUUCGGUUAAUACCCGGAAGUCCUGACGGUACCGUAAGAAUAAGCACCGGCUAACUUCGUGCCAGCAGCCGCGGUAAUACGAAGGGUGCAAGCGUUACUCGGAAUUACUGGGCGUAAAGCGUGCGUAGGUGGUUUGUUAAGUCUGAUGUGAAAGCCCUGGGCUCAACCUGGGAAUGGCAUUGGAUACUGGCAGUCUAGAGUGCGGUAGAGGGUAGCGGAAUUCCCGGUGUAGCAGUGAAAUGCGUAGAUAUCGGGAGGAACAUCCGUGGCGAAGGCGGCUACCUGGACCAGCACUGACACUGAGGCACGAAAGCGUGGGGAGCAAACAGGAUUAGAUACCCUGGUAGUCCACGCCCUAAACGAUGCGAACUGGAUGUUGGGGACACUUAGGUCUUCAGUAUCGAAG